GACGAACGCUGGCGGCGUGCUUAACACAUGCAAGUCGAACGGAAAGGCCCUGCUUUUGUGGGGUGCUCGAGUGGCGAACGGGUGAGUAACACGUGAGUAACCUGCCCUUGACUUUGGGAUAACUUCAGGAAACUGGGGCUAAUACCGGAUAGGAGCUCCUGCUGCAUGGUGGGGGUUGGAAAGUUUCGGCGGUUGGGGAUGGACGCGCGGCUUAUCAGCUUGUUGGUUGGGUAGUGGCUUACCAAGGGUUUGACGGGUAGCCGGCCUGAGAGGGUGACCGGCCACAUUGGGACUGAGAUACGGACCAGACUCCUACGGGAGGCAGCAGUGGGGAAUAUUGCACAAUGGGCGGAAGCCUGAUGCAGCAACGCCGCGUGCGGGAUGACGGCCUUCGGGUUGUAAACCGCUUUCGCCUGUGACGAAGCGUGAGUGACGGUAAUGGGUAAAGAAGCACCGGCUAACUACGUG
rnacentral:rRNA from 1 species